GUGACUCACAAUAAUCAAAUAAAACAAACAACAAAAACAAAAAUUACAAUUAAAGCUAAAAGAUGGCAAAUGCAAUGAAGCAAGCAGUGUUACUCCCCUUCACCAAAGGCCUGGGUGAAAAGUUCUUCAGGCUCUUCUAAACAACACCAGAGUGGGGGCCUUCCUCUUCUCGGGAACUAUUGUUGGUGAAGCAGAUGCUAUGGGAGGCAGGCAGGCCGUAACCACCUCUAUGCUUUUAAGUACAUGUAACAACCAGCACCUUCAAUGAAACCCAGAUGCAAACUGGCAACUAGUGCAGUUUGCAAAGCAGAGAUGUUAUUUGGGCAUAUGGAGGCAUGCUUCAUUCUAGACCAGAGGUGCUCAUGGCCUGGAGGGAAGGAGAGCAGCUCUCAAAUUGGUGUGUGCACAUGAACAGGGCCACGCACACUGGUGUGGCACUAGCGGCCCCAUUAGCGCAUGUGGCAUGCACUGGCACUGUGAGCAUGCGUGAAUGGCUGUGCACCCCCCAUAGCGACUAGCAGCACCAUCCGCACAUGCGUAAACAGGCUGUGCAACCCGCUCAGGGCUAUCGUCCCCGUUCGUGCAUGUGCAAACAGGCUGCACAUACCAGCCUGGGGCUAGCGGUCCUGUUUGCACAUGCGCAUAUGUGCCACGUAUACUCACCUGGCGCUAGCAGCCCUGUUUGUGCAUGUGCACGGGUCCAAAUGGGGCUGCAGGCACUAGUGCGAGGGGAAUGCGUGCGUGCACCAGCCAACCAUUUCAGUGGCUUGCUGGCCAAGAGCCUGCAGCCCGGUCCCAGGCCGCGAACCAUAAGUUGGGGACCCCUGUUCUUAACCAAUUGGAGUUUUUGGGUGGUUUUCAAGGGCAGUCUCAUAUAGAGCUUGUUGCAGAAGUCAAAUCACAAGGUGACAUGAGUGUAAAUGACUGAAGGGCCCUCAUCUAGGAAACAGUAUAAGGGGAACACCAUGGAGUUCUGCAAAAUAUCUUUCUGGCCACAGCUAACACUUGUUCAUCAAGUAGGAGAUCUGAGUCCAGAAAGACCCUCAGAUUUCUAGUUUUGCUUAUUUGAUUCGAGCAGAAAAUUUUGAAAGUAAAUUAAGACCCACCCAACCAUAUAGUUCUCUGGUCAGAUAUUUUGCUAUCAGAAACUUACUAAUAAAAUUCAUCUUUUGGCAGGCUUACUUUUAAUCAUAAUUCUGUAUUGUAAAUAGCCACUGUUAUUGUGGAAUAUUUACUAUCAGCAGCCUGGUGACCCACUUAUAAAGUAACGCUCCCACACUAUUCAGGAAUUGCAGGCCUAGUCUCCAGUCUAUAUGCACUCUCCUUGAUAUUCCUUAUCACCAUGGAGACAGAGUUAAUUGUCAACAGAGUUGUCAUGUUCUUCAGUGAGAGUAAAUGGUUUUGGUGCCCACCAGAGGCUGGGAGUAUUUUGCACUAUGUUAAGGUGGAAAAUGAGAAGGGUCACAUAUACUGUAUAAGGAAAGAAGGAAGAAGCAGGAGUUGGUGACCAAAAUGGAUCUUUUGUCUAAUCUCCCAAACGACUGGUUUGAUGCUCAGUGUAUUCAGGAAAAUAUUUGUAAAGAAGUCCUAGGAGAACAGAUUUCUGGAUUGUCAUCUUCUGGCCCUUUUUAUCCACUGCUUCAGGAUACUCCCUCCAACAGGGAAUAUUUCAAGGAAGACGUUGAAGACUGUCCAUUUGACUCCUGGCUUUUAUUUUGUUCUCAUAGGAUCUCGGCACAGUCAGUGAUCUAAAGGAGAACACUUAGAGCUAAUUUCAAGGAGAUUUUUUUUGCCACUGUGGCCCACUUGUAUUGUCACUCAGUUUGCUACAAAUUCCAUAACUUUGUUAACAAGAUGAUCUUCCAUUUCUAUAUUUGAUAGUUUUCUAUAUAGAGUAAUCAUUUUUUGACUAGAACACAAAGGCAUUUCCUGUUGCCUCUCCGUAUUUCUAUUAUAAGUCUACAUUAUAAAGCAAUUGAUGACUGCUAUUAAACUAAAGCAUUGUGGCUUGUUGGUUGCAGUAAGAAAAUUGAGAAUCAAAGUUCUGAAAUAUGUACAGGUAACUAAAUUGCUCUGAGCUCAUGUUCUAUCACUAGAUUUGUUAUUGGUUAAUUCCAGUGUUUCACAUAUGCACUGUGAUUGGAUAAAAUAAUACGUUUUGUAUUUGA